AAAAUGAAAGUAGAACUUCAGGAUGACAGCAGAAGAGGUUGAGUCACUAAAGAACCAAGGCAAUGAUUGUGUUCGUCGUAAAAAUUUUGCUGAGGCUGUCAUCCAUUACACGCAUGCCAUUCAAAAGGACGGGAAAAACCACGUGCUGUACAGCAACAGAUCCCUUGCGUUUUUGAAACUCCAGCAGUUUUAUUAUGCACUAGAGGACGCCAAAGAGACCAUCAAGUUACAACCUUACUGGGCCAAGGAAAGGAGAAGUGCAUUUUGCAGUUGGAAAUCAUGAAACAGCUUUGUUGUCUUAUGAGCAAGCAUUUAAAAUUGAACCAAGUGAUAAAGACUUGGCCGAGGCCAUUAGCAAAACAAGAAAAGAGAUGACAAAGGCCAGGAAAGAGGAUGCGAGGCGUCCCUGGGUGUGGGGAGGUGCCGGGCUAUUCCUGGGUCUCCUUGUUGUGGUGUGUGACCAGUUCAUACCUCAGAAGCCUGCCGUACAGAGUCUAAUUCUACAGAUUUUACUAGUGGCUGUGUUUUCAGGACUCUCACUUCUUGGGAGCUACGCUUACAAAUUUAUUCACAGCAAUGACCAGUCAGCUCUUUUGGAGCCCCCCUUAGAUUUAUUUGGUGACAACACUCAAAAGGAAAGUGAAAGUAAAAGCUCUGAAUCAACAGGAAGUCAAAGGUCAGAUAAAGGUCAUCGCCGUGGAGGGGUAGGGACUGGGAGACAGAGGUUCAGAAUGGGGAAAUCAUGACAACAGACAUCCACUUUGGUUACCAUGGAUACAACUAUUAAUUUGUGAAUUGAUUUAUAUUUGUAUGGCAUAUAGAUCUGUUCAAAAGAGAAAGGAAUGCGUUCAAAUUUAAUUGAAGGAAGAGAUUUUUUCCCAGGAACUGGAAUUGGUGUUGUAUGAUGUCUGUUACUGUAAAUUUCUACAAAGGACUAGAGCUAGCUAGUUCAAAUAUGCACAAUGAGUGGAUGUUUCGUUUUGUAUUGUUUCAAUUUUUAUCUCAGACAUGCAUGUUGUUCUUGUUUUUUAAUGUAUAAGACUGUGAUGCAUAUUCAUGUAUAUUUUAAAUGCAUUUAGUUUCUACAGACUGAAUUAAGUACAUGUACAAUUUACUUAAAAUAAAAUGAUUCAU
rnacentral:misc_RNA from 1 species